rnacentral:rRNA from 1 species
CAAUAGCGUAUAUUAAAGUUGUUGCAGUUAAAAAGCUCGUAGUUGGAUUUGUGGCGUACGGUGUGUUCCGGGCACUUGUUGUCUGAGUAACCUGCUGUUGCCAUCCUUGGGUGGAACCUGUGUGGCAUUAGGUUGUCGUGCAGGGGAUGCCCAUCAUUUACUGUGAAAAAAUUAGAGUGUUCAAAGCAGGCUUAUGCCGUUGAAUAUAUUAGCAUGGAAUAAUGAGAUAGGACUUUUUUGCUAUUUUGUUGGUUUGCGCAAGAAGGUAAUAAUUAAUAGGGACAGUUGGGGGUAUUCGUAUUCCAUUGUCAGAGGUGAAAUUCUUGGAUUUUUGGAAGACGAACUACUGCGAAAGCAUUUACCAAGGAUGUUUUCAUUAA